UGAUCUUUUGGUACGAUGGCGGUGACAUUUACUUUUUAGAUUGGCUCAAACAAAAUUGUGACAUGGAGAACGAGGCAUCAUUCUACCUCAACCUUGAGAAUGUGUAUAUGACACAGUUGGAAGUGAAAAGGUUUGGGUUCCACUUGUUAUAUGACAAAGUUGAGCUAAACAAAUGCAAUCCUUACAUAUGCAGAGAAGCCAAUUUUCUGGAGCAAUUAGAAGAAACAGCAAAUGCCAACAAUAAGAGAAGCAGGGAAGACUUCUACUCCAGUAAUAUCAAUGGCAACCAGGAGGUGGAAACACACCCUAAAAGAUUGAGGCCAAACUUCUUUAUGGAAGAUUACUUUUCAAAUGCUCAGGAUGGGAUUAACUACGAUGCUACUAUGGUUCCUUCAAGUUCUUCAUGUGAAUUUGCUCCCAAAUUCUACAAAUUUCUUUGAAAUUCGUCCCUACUAAUUGUGGAUAACUUGCGUUUGCGGCUCUCUUUCCCUCAAGCUGCGUUGACAUCUUCCAAAUCUGGGCAUCAACUUUCUGAUCUGUCGGAUCUCAUUUGUUUUGGGCAUCAACUUUCUGAUCUGGCGAGUCUUACGAGCCCAUCUCUCGCGACUUCAGUGGCGUCUUCCAGACUAACUCUACGCCAACCUCGGCCUUCUCCAUCUCGCCUCUUCCAUUUCUCUUCUUCACUCAACGAUUCAGAAGCCCUAUGGUUUUAGUAGCCUCCAAUUUCUCCCUCUCUUGCACAAACUUAAUUAGCGACUAUAAGUCUUCCAUCUCAGAAUUUGUUGAAUAAUUGACAUGUGGGAUGGAGAAAACUGGUUUUAACACAAGGAUGGAUGACAAAUUUUAAUAAAUGAUUCAAUCGUGUAAUUCCCGCUGUCAGUUGCAAAACCAUGCAAUCAUUUGCCAAAUCUCAGCUCAUUGUGUUCAAUUCUGGCCUGAUCCUCCAAAUGAGAUAUUGAGUUUCGUCACGGCAGAUGCAGUGGUAGUGACUCUAUGUUAACUCAGGAACGAAGCGCUUUGGAAUUCUAAUCAGAUUACAAGCUCUGCUUCCUCCUUCCUUCAUCAGUGAUUAGCUGCCCAAGUUAGUGACCAUCCAUCCUAUUUUGACUACUCUUCGACAGUUUCUGUGGCUGAUUUGUUGAAAUGGCACAAGCCUGCUUCGGGAUUCUUGAAAUGCAAUACAGAUGCUUCCUCCCGUCUGCAUCAUAACAAAAUUGAGCAGGUUGGGUUCUUUGUGAUUGGAGAGGACAGCUGAUUAAGGCUUGCUAAAUUGAGCUUCUUGGUCCACCUGAUCCGAAAAUCACUGAAGCUCUCUCUCUCCAAGAAGCUCUUAGCUUGAUUGAUGGAAGGGGCAUGCAUAUCACCUAAUUUGUUAACUUAUUCAACCUUGAUUGAAUGCUGAUGUUGUUCCUUAUCCUGCACUUAUGGAUGCCCAGUGCAAGAAUUGUUAAGUGAAA